AUGUUGAUGCCCAAGAAGAACUGGAUUGCCAUUUAUUAACUCCUUUUUAAGGUGGGAGUGAUAGUGGUCAAAAAAGAUGUCCAUAUGUCUAAGUACUCAGAGCUGGCUGACAAGAAUGUGCCCAACCUUUAUGUCAUAAAGGCCAUGCAGUUUUUCAAGUCUUGAGGUUACAUGAAGGAACAGUUUGUCUGAAAAUAUUUCUACUGGUACCUUACCCACAAGGGUAUUCAGUAUCUAUGUGAUUACCUCUACCUGCCCCCUAAGAUUGUGCCAGUCACCUUGCACUGCAGCUAUCCAAAGAGUGGCAGAACUCGGCCCAAAGGUCUGGAGGGUGAACAACCUGCAAGACUCACAAGAGGGGAAGCUGACAGAGACACCUACAGACGGAGUACUGUGCCCCCUGUUGCUGACAAGAAAGCCAAGACUGCGGCUGGGUCAGCAACUGAAUUCCAGUUUAGAGGCAGAUUUGGUCAUGGACGUGGUCAGUCACCUCAAUAAAAUUGGAGGGGAUUAUUUUGUGUGGAAUAAACUUGUAGCCAGAAAAACUU